rnacentral:rRNA from 1 species
UGCAGUCGUGCGAGAGUCUUCCUUCGGGGAGAUGGACAGCGGCGAAAGGGAGAGUAACGCGUGGAUACCUACCUUUGGGUUCGGAAUAGCGGUGGGAAACUGCCGGUAAUGCCGGAUAACAUCUCUGGAUCAAAGCUUCGGCGCCUAGAGACGGGUCCGCGUCCUAUUAGCUUGUUGGUGGGGUAAUGGCCUACCAAGGCAUCGAUGGGUACCGGGUGUGAGAGCAUGGCCCGGCUCACUGGGACUGAGACACUGCCCAGACACCUACGGGUGGCUGCAGUCGAGAAUCUUCGGCAAUGGACGCAAGUCUGACCGAGCGACGCCGCGUGCGGGAUGAAGGCCUUCGGGUUGUAAACCGCUGUCAGAGAGGCGGAAAGCGUAAGCUUGACCUAUUCUCAGAGGAAGUACGGGCUAAGUUCGUGCCAGCAGCCGCGGUAAUACG